rnacentral:sRNA from 1 species
UAAGAAAAGAUAAGAACUUAGCUUCCUCUUACAAAUAUGAUUAGAUGGUACUUAAAACUGUAAAAAAUAAGUCAUAAAGUGACAAACUUGAGGAGAUACAUAGAAAAUAAGUUCAUCAAAAGAGUUAAGCUUAGAUUUGGGAAUUAAAAAAUGUCUGAAUAUUAUUUGCUAAUCAACAGAUUCAUAUUCUAGUAGAACUAACCGGAGUAGGAGUUGAGAGAGAGGUCGAAGCGAGAAAGAGAGAGAGGGAGCUUCGUCGCCGAGGGAGAGAGAAGAGAAGAGAAGAAAAUUGAUGUGUUGAGAAACUUGAUGGGCCAACCAUAGACCGUGUGGGCUAGCCCAUUAAACCCGUGGACAUAAUUGGUCUUUAGACCAUUUAACCCGUUUUCUUUACGGGCCGACCAUGGACUGUCCAUAAUGUUGUGGACUGGGCUUAGCCCAUGGUCAGAUGACCAUUUGACGGUUCUACUCAAAGGUAUAGAAACUCAUUGUGUAGGGUUUUGCUUUUAGAUAUUCUUUGGAGGUUUAGAGAGUUUCACCGCCUUUUGUCUCUUGGCAUUUAAUGCCUCCCAACAACAACUACGUACAAGUCUCAAGUACUGGUCCUAUUAUAUUGUUGUUAA